rfam:Oryza punctata chromosome 4, whole genome shotgun sequence.
UAUAAGUGCAAUAGUAGGUUUCAAUGCCUAACAUUUGACCAUCCAUCUUAUUUAAAUUUUUUUAUGAUUAGUAUUUUAAUUAUUAUUAGAUGAUAAAACAUGCAUAGUUUUUUAUGCAUCACUUAAUUUUUUUAUUUUUUCAUAAAUUUUUUAAAUAAGACGAACAAUCAAAAAUUGAUCACUAAAAUCGACAACUACAGUUAUA